UUUAAAGCAUUUGUAAUUUAAUUAAAAAGAACUCCUAUUUUUCUUUUUAGGAAGACAUUCUCUUAUAUUCUGUCGUUUGAGUAAAAAAUAAGGAUUCAUGUAGUAAUUUUAUUAUAAAUUGUGCAAUUUCUCCAAUUGGGCCAUUCUAAGCCAAUAAUGCGUUAUUAAUGAUGAUAUGAAAACUUUUCAUAUUAUCUUACACAAAGGGUAUUAACGCCUUUUACAAGCUUGUCCGGCAAAAAUCAGUCACAUGAUACGACCGGAAACAAUUUUUACAUUAAUCAUAUAAAUGUACACAAAACAAAAUGCAUUUACAAAAUGCUAUUAAUUGAAUUAUUUCAAGAAAUAUUAUAUAGUAUGUGAUGUCACCAUGAAGUUGUCAUUUGAGAUGAACGGAUUAAAUUACUUAGCAUUAAUCCUCCCCUAUAGGACUAUAGGAUUCCAUAUCCAAAUAAGAAAAUGUCUUUUUCACUUACGAGAAACAAUUCAGAUUAGAAACGAUUAAACUU